GCAGCUCAGUCAGUAGAGCAUGAGAUUCUUAAUCUCGGUAGUGGGUUCAAACCCAACGUUGGACA